UACGUAGGGGGCAAGCGUUGUCCGGAUUUAUUGGGCGUAAAGCGCGUGUAGGCGGCCAGGUAGGUCCGCUGUGAAAACUCGAGGCUCAACCUCGAGACGUCGGCGGAAACCAUCUGGCUAGAGUCCGGAAGAGGAGAGUGGAAUUCCUGGUGUAGCGGUGAAAUGCGCAGAUAUCAGGAAGAACACCCGUGGCUAAGGCGGUUCUCUAGUACGGUACUGACGCUGAGACGCGAAAGCGUGGGGAGCGAACAGG
rnacentral:rRNA from 1 species